rnacentral:rRNA from 1 species
UGCAUGAAGCCGGAAUCGCUAGUAAUCGCGGAUCAGCAUGCCGCGGUGAAUACGUUCCCGGGCCUUGUACACACCGCCCGUCACACCACGAGAGUUUGCAACACCCGAAGUCGGUGAGGUAACCCUUACGGGAGCCAGCCGCCGAAGGUGGGGCAAAUGAUUGGGGUGAAGUCGUAACAAGGUAGCCGUAUCGGAAGGUGCGGCUGGAUCACCUCCUUU